GUGACACUUGAGACUAACCAUUCUCUCAGGAUAAAUUCUCUUGGCCACUUAAGAACAGAACACUUUCAUAAUCUACCCUGUCCCCUUGUGUCACUUUUAGGAAUUGAGACACUCACCUAGGAUCUAUGGUGUAUUGGUCAAGUGAAAGGUACCAUCGAGAUUGGAACUAUAGAAGGUAAGGACUGCCUCUAACAAACUGCACUGCCUUCAUGACAUAUGUGGAUUCCAGAUGCGCCACGGGUACUUCAGACUUCCUGAAGAGAUAAUGAGAGAUUGAGUCUUGUGAAUAUCUGAGAAUUCCAGCUAGAGGAGAAAGCUCCAAGCCCAGUAAAGGAGACUUGCCAAGACCAAGAUUUGGGGUAGAGAAAAUUGAGACUGCAACAUCUUAAAUGACUGGAUAUUUUCUCCAAAAUUAUCACCUGUAACUUGGGAGACCUCUAGUUGAACCCUAGAAAUGAAAACCAUAAUGGCUACAUGUGGCAGCUAACCACGCAGUUCUGGAGUUAGCCU
rnacentral:lncRNA from 1 species